CAUACACCGAUUCACCCAGUCACAGCGGUGUCAGCUAUGCAAGGCAACAGCUAGGACAACAUACUGCUCACCCCCCCAACCCCAGACAUCACCAGACCAGCUUCACCCAGACACCCGGACACCCCCCGACCGGCUCCCCCAGGAGACCCAGACCAGACCGAAGCCCCCCGUCCUGACCCCAUCCUCCAAGAGAGGCAGCGUCCAUGUGGAGACGGGCCCAGCCUCCUCCUCCUCCAAGAGACGCUGCUCUUCCCACCCCAGCACCUGGCCGCACCAGCAGGUCUCAGACGGUUCUGGAGUCCGAGGGGGCGGGGAGGAGGAGGGGGAGGAGGAGGUCUGUGUUCUCCUGGUGGAGGAGCUGAGCCGGCAGGAGGAGGCGCUGUUCGGCCGCCGUCAGCAGGAGGAGCAGGACCGUCUGGUGGCUGAGCUCCUCCAGAAGGAGCUGAACAAGGAGGAGCAGCGGGCCUUCACCGACCGCAGCAAAGGCUCCGCUGACCCUUACCAGCUGCGCCGCAAAGCCAGAACCCCCAGCAGAACCUCCUCCUCCUCCUCCUCCUCCAAACGAAAUGAGGUGGGAGCAGAGCGAAGGGCUACUCCUAACAGACAGACGGCCAGCAGCUCAAGCUCCGGCCCCGCCCCUCACCUGCCAGGGGCCAAUAAGCAGGCCUCACUAAAGGAUAUGUUCCGACGCCUCUCCAACUGAGAUCGGGACCAUCGGACCUUAGUUUCUCCCCCCACGCUUCCUCCCUGCUAACAUUCAUUGCCAAGUACGUUAGCAUCAUUACACUGCUCGUAGCGUACAGUAUACUGUAUGUUGGCAUCCUAACACUGCUUCUAGCGCACAGUAUGCUGUAUGUUAGCAUCCUAACACUGCUUCUAGCGCACAGUAUGCUGUAUGUUAGCAUCAUUACACUGCUUGUAGCGCACAGUAUGCUGUAUGUUAGCAUCCUAACACUGCUUCUAGCGCACAGUAUGCUGUAUGUUAGCAUCCUAACACUGCUUGUAGCGCACAGUAUGCUGUAUGUUAGCAUCCUAACACUGCUUGUAGCGCACAGUAUGCUGUAUGUUAGCAUCCUAACGCUUCUUGUUGCUGACAGUUUGUUAGCAUAGCAUCAUAAUGCUGCUUGUUGCGUCAGGUUUACAGUACGUUAGCAUCAUAAUGCUGCUUGUUGCGUCAGGUUUAACGUUUACAGUUCACAGCAUGUGAUUGCGAGACUGAUAUGAGGGAGUUGACCUGACUGCGAUAAGGUUUGCAUCAGCAGUUCCUCUAAAUGUUGCAGUUAUUCUGGAAAUAAACUGCCCACUGGUAGCUGUUAUGUCUUGGUCUGGUUUGUUACAGGAACUCACUGGACACCGGCUCAGAUCAGGCCUGGAACUAUUGUCCGUUAACUACCGCUCUCUCCUUAUUCCCCCCUCAAACAAUGUAGGACAAUCCGUCCCAGGUAUGUACCCUGUCCGCAGGGCCUAAUAUAGCCACGAGAUCAGGGAAUCCAUCCUUUGACUUCUUCUGCAAAGUCUGGGUUCGCUCAGCUCAUCUUGACCAAUCAGAGAAGGUUACCAUUUUAGUGUCUGUUCCACUUGAUGUGGUGAGUCAGAUGCAGUGCUGCUUAGACCUGAGGAUCUGCUCUGUGAUUUUGCUACAGUCAGUUGGAGGAAAUAACCAAUCAGCACGAGAGUCUGAGUCAUCUGAGAAGCUGAAGAACAGCAAAGCAGCAUAUAUAUUGGGGGUGUGACGACAUGGCCGUUUUUGGUCCAUACCCAAACUUUAUAAAAAAUGAGUAAAUGACAUUUGACAUUGUUAUGAAGAUGCUGC
ensembl:lncRNA